UAUACCUACGGGAGGCAGCAGUGGGGAAUAUUGCACAAUGGGGGAAACCCUGAUGCAGCGACGCCGCGUGAGUGAGGAAGUAUUUCGGUAUGUAAAGCUCUAUCAGCAGGGAAGAAAAUGACGGUACCUGACUAAGAAGCCCCGGCUAACUACGUGCCAGCAGCCGCGGUAAUACGUAGGGGGCAAGCGUUAUCCGGAUUUACUGGGUGUAAAGGGAGCGUAGACGGAGGAGCAAGUCUGAUGUGAAAAUCCGGGGCUCAACCCUGGGACUGCUUUGGAAACUGUGGAGCUAGAGUGCUGGAGAG
rnacentral:rRNA from 1 species